rnacentral:rRNA from 1 species
AUUGAACGCUGGCGGCAGGCCUAACUCAUGCAAGUCGAGCGGGGGUAGCAAUACCCUAGCGGCGAACGGGUGAGGAAUGCUUGGGAAUCUGCCUGGUAGUGGGGGAUAACGUUCCGAAAGGAACGCUAAUACCGCAUACGUCCUACGGGAGAAAGGGGGGGAUCUUCGGACCUCCCGCUAUCAGAUGAGCCCAAGCGGGAUUAGCUAGUGGGUGGGGUAAAGGCUCACCAAGGCGACGAUCCUUAGCUGGUCUGAGAGGAUGAUCAGCCACACUGGAACUGAGACACGGUCCAGACUCCUACGGGAGGCAGCAGUGGGGAAUAUUGCACAAUGGGGGAAACCCUGAUGCAGCAACGCCGCGUGAGUGAUGAAGAUCUUCGGAUUGUAAACUGCUUUUGUACGGAACGAAACGGUCCUGGUUAAUACCCGGGGCUAAUGACGGUACCGUAAGAAUAAGCACCGGCUAACUACGUGCCAGCAGCCGCUGUAAGAC